rnacentral:ncRNA from 1 species
GCAUGGUUCCUGAUAAGGAAUAAAAAGGGAAUCCGGUAGUGCCGAUGGCCGAAGCCGGAGCUGCCCCCGCAACUGUAUCCGGAGAGCCUUCGCCAUCUGCCACUGGAUGAAUCCGGGAAGGCGGCGAACAGGGUGUCGACCCGGGAGCCAGGAGACCUGCCGUGCGC